CCUACGGGAGGCAGCAGUGGGGGAUAUUGCACAAUGGGGGAAACCCUGAUGCAGCGACGCCGCGUGUGUGAAGAAGGUUCUCGGUAUGGAAAGCUCUAGCACCAAGGAACAAGGAAGACGGUACCUGACGAAGAAGCUCCGGCUAACUACGUGCCAGCAGCCGCGGUAAUACGUAGGGAGCAAGCGUUGUCCGGAUAUACUGGGUGUAAAGGGAGCGUAGGCGGGUGUGCAAGGCUGAUGUGAAAUCCCAGGGGUCAACCCGGUGACUGCAUUGGAAACUGUGGAGCUUGAGUGCUGGAGAGGCAAGCGGAAUUCCUAGUGUAGCGGUGAAAUGCGUAGAUAUUAGGAGGAACACCAGUGGCGAAGGCGGCCUACUGGACAGUAACUGACGUUGAGGCUCGAAAGCGUGGGGAGCAAACAGGAUUAGAUACCCGGGUAGUC
rnacentral:rRNA from 1 species